CAACCCUGGAUUGAUUGAACUGAAGUUAGACAUGUGACACUGAACAGAAGCACUAGAGGGAAUUCUCUCCUCACAUUCAAAUUCUGAUGCAAAGGGUGAGAAGAGAUAUGAGCUGAGUUUGAUUAACAUUGAGAAAAAUCGACAUCUGAAAGAUGUCAGACAGAGACAGACUGCAGUACACAGCCAGCUGUGGUAAUGGUGAUGUCACUGUUGAGGAGUUUUCUGUUGUUCUACUUCUCAUUCAACAAAUUGACCACAGCAGCAGAAGCCAUUCUCUGGGUGAAGACGGGGGAGAAGUUUACCAUGAAGUGCUCCACCACUCUAAAAGACCAGGAUGGAAUGUACCUGUAUGUUGGGCUGGACAGGGACAGGGAGGUGCUGUAUUACUACCAGCGUGACUCCAAACUGACCCCCAGGAGACGUUACUGGGACAGAGUGAAGACUGAGGGACCUGUGGACCAACUGACCAUCACCGUCAGUAACCUGACCAUAGAGGACACAGGUGUCUACUGGUGUGUUUACACAAAAUUCAAUAAAUCCACGUAUGAAAAUGACAUCAACCAAGGAAGAGGCUCCACUCUGGUCGUGGUGAAUGGUAGAGGUAUUGUUACACUCUAGGGGUUGUGAUAUGUUUUACUCUUCUCAUGAAUGAACAGUCAAUUUCACAUGUAGACAAAAUGUGUGUAAUCUAGAAUCCAGACUAGUGUUUCUCAGUCUAUGGUUCAUGGACUGGCAGCGGUCCCUGCAGUGUUUCAGACCAAUUUAGUCAACUCUCAAGUGUUAGUUUCAAUCUAAACAACCACAUAGCCUGCUGGUCCCGAUACCAAAAAGCUGAGAAACAUUGUUCUUCAGUGGCUUUUCUUUUGUACAAUUCUGUCUCUGAUAGUUAUUUUGUGUGAGUGCCGCAGCAUACUGAUUAGAUUUUCCCGUUUCGUGAUGUCUUCCAUAGACGAUGCCCUCCAGCUGCCAUGCCCCACAGCUAUUGCAGUAACACUGACCCCCUUUCACCCAGCCAACGAGAAGCUGUGCGCAUCUGGCGUGGAAAACAUCAUCAUCAUCACCAGCAUCUUGACCACCCUGAUGUGUGCCGUCAUCUUCCUCGCCUGGGUCGCUCCACGGGUGAAGAGGUGCUGUAACCAGGGAGGAUACACACCCCAGGUCUUUCCUGACUCGGUCUAUGAAGACAUGGCCAGGAAUCCCAUUUAUCCACCAGACACACAGCAGGUACAAUCGUACCCCUAUUCUGUGUCUACCAAAGGAGGAAGUAGGACCACUGUGUAGCUUCUUCGAAUGCUUUCUCUGAAUAUUGCUUCUUUGCUUUCUCAGAAUUGAAAAACCUGUUCUGCUAUAUUUCACAGUUCUAGCCUCAAUGCAAGUCUUAGUGGUACAUGUUUUGUGUGUGUGCGUGUGUGUGUGUGUGUGUGUGUGUGCGUGCGUAUGUGUGUUGCGCCAUACCAUGCUUAUGUGUGUGAAUAAAAUCUCUAUAUGGACAGUAUUCAUAUUUCAACAGAAGAGUGAACAGCCAAUGUUAUAUUCCAGUUCUUCCACAUGCAAUGCACACACACCAAUAAAGCACUUUUCUUCUAAUGAAAUGCUGCUAAAAGUAGUUAUGGAAGAAGUGGAAAGUACUCGAUCAACGUGAGUUGAGGUGCAACCAAAAAAUGUGGUCAUCAUUGAAAAGGCUCAAUGCUUGCUCAUCAUUUUAACUAUUAAAAGAUUCUGUUAAGUCAUUAGGUGAUUUGAAAAUCAUCUGAAAAUGAAACAUCCCAAUAAAUAAGAGACAGCAACCAUAGUGCUUUACAUUUUGCCCCUGAACGUUGGAUUUUGGUGCAGAUCUUUUGUGAAUGUUCAGAAUUGAUCAAAGGGCCAGUCUAAAUUGCUAAACGGGACGGAUCUGGCACGUGGGCCGCCAGUUGAAUAUCCCUGUUUUAGUCCAUAAGGUGUACAGUUGAUAGCGAUGGAGGCCUCCCUAUAACUUUUUUCAAUACAUCAGGUCAUACGAUUUAUAUUGGUUUUAGUUCUAAACAAUGCUGUAGGCUGUGUUUUUCUCUAGUGUUUUUAGGUCACUGGACCACUCAUCAAGCUGUUCCUGUGCAUGUUGUCUUCCACAAAGCCAAAAGAACUUCAACGUUAAAAUGAGAACAGUUUGUUAAGACUUUUAUUAUAUUUUAUCAUAGGUACAAAUAUUUUAGCUCCUUAAACUUUCAGGCACAUCAGGAUAUAAGCCAUUUUACAUUACAUUUGAUUAUUCUAUGGUUUUAGUUGAGAUAGCUAGUAGGUUAAACCAUAAUGGUCUGAGUACAUUGUUUUCAUGCUGAUACAGAGUAAUGAGUGUGUCUUAUGGAUGGAAAAACAAUGAUUCAUUUUUACUAAGUGACGUAGUAUUUGUCUUACACUAGGAGUCCCUGUUUUUUUACUUAUGUUUCAACUUCCUAACAGCUAUUUUCACUUUAAAUAGCUGUAAAUGUGUAUUGUAUCUUUAUAAAGGAAGACAAAUAUUCUCACCGUUUGCCUUUUAAUCAAAAUUAUUGAUACAUAAUUGAUAGUUAUGUGAUAUUCAACUUGUGUAUUCAUGUUUAUGUUGUAUUUGUAUGUAUAAAGCAUUGGUGAUGUUCAGCUAUAUUGCUUACAGUAUUUUGUAUGUUUAGAAAGCUUUCUAAAUGAAGUCAGACAGGAAACUAGAGUGUUUGUAUCAGCUGAUAUUGAACCAAUUAGAUUCCCUCUACCGUAAUAUGGCAGUCUAUUUAGUUAACCAGGUAAUGCACAUCCUUUCAUUAUGUCUGCUGCACGCAAGCUAUCCAUUGGUGUUCUUGGUGACAUGCUAUGAUGUAACAUGCGGUACUCGCCCUGCAUGUCUGCUUUCCCACCACCCACCCCAGACUCCACCUGUUUGGGCACUGCUUUUGUUUCAGUCAGGGGGAUUGGUAUAGCAUACCUGGCUCACUGUUUGUUAUUAUGUUAUCAUUAUGCAUGCUCUGGCAGUGAGCUACCCCGAAGGAGCAGAGCCUUACGCCAAGAGUAACAUAUUGAAUGUAUUGUAAUCCUUUCUAAUAAAUGGUUAAACAAAUAUGUGACGUUUCAGUAACUUUUA
rnacentral:lncRNA from 1 species